GGAGUUUUUAACUCAAGUGGCGGACGGGUGAGUAACACGUGAGAAUUUGCCUCUAGGAGGGGGACAACAACUGGAAACGGUUGCUAAUACCCCAUAUGCUUUCGAGUGAAAUGAUUUUUUCGCCUAGAGAGAAGCUCGCGGCUGAUUAGCUUGUUGGUGGGGUAAGAGCCUACCAAGGCGACGAUCAGUAUCUGGUUUGAGAGGACGAUCAGACACACUGGAACUGAGACACGGUCCAGACUCCUACGGGAGGCAGCAGUGGGGAAUUUUCCGCAAUGGGCGAAAGCCUGACGGAGCAAUACCGCGUGAGGGAAGACGGCCUAUGGGUUGUAAACCUCUUUUUUCAGGGAGGAAUUCAAUGACGUGUACCUGAAGAAUAAGCAUCGGCUAACUCCGUGCCAGCAGCCGCGGUAAG
rnacentral:rRNA from 1 species